UGCAAGUCGGACGGUAGCACAGAGGAGCUUGCUCCUCGGGUGACGAGUGGCGGACGGGUGAGUAAUGUCUGGGGAUCUGCCCGAUAGAGGGGGAUAACCACUGGAAACGGUGGCUAAUACCGCAUAACGUCGCAAGACCAAAGAGGGGGACCUUCGGGCCUCUCACUAUCGGAUGAACCCAGAUGGGAUUAGCUAGUAGGCGGGGUAACGGCCCACCUAGGCGACGAUCCCUAGCUGGUCUGAGAGGAUGACCAGCCACACUGGAACUGAGACACGGUCCAGACUCCUACGGGAGGCAGCAGUGGGGAAUAUUGCACAAUGGGCGCAAGCCUGAUGCAGCCAUGCCGCGUGUAUGAAGAAGGCCUUCGGGUUGUAAAGUACUUUCAGCGGGGAGGAAUGCNAUGUGGUUUAUAACCGCCUCUAUUGACGUUACCCUCA
rnacentral:rRNA from 1 species